rnacentral:rRNA from 1 species
UACGAAGGGGGCUAGCGUUGCUCGGAAUCACUGGGCGUAAAGCGCACGUAGGCGAAUCUUUAAGUCAGGGGUGAAAUCCCGAGGCUCAACCUCGGAACUGCCUUUGAUACUGGGGAUCUCGAGUCCGGGAGAGGUGAGUGGAACUGCGAGUGUAGAGGUGAAAUUCGUAGAUAUUCGCAAGAACACCAGUGGCGAAGGCGGCUCACUGGCCCGGAACUGACGCUGAGGUGCGAAAGCGUGGGGAGCAAACAGG